GACGAACGCUGGCGGCGUGCUUAACACAUGCAAGUCGAACGGAAAGGCCCUGCUUUUGUGGGGUGCUCGAGUGGCGAACGGGUGAGUAACACGUGAGUAACCUGCCCUUGACUUUGGGAUAACUUCAGGAAACUGGGGCUAAUACCGGAUAGGAGCUCCUGCUGCAUGGUGGGGGUUGGAAAGUUUCGGCGGUUGGGGAUGGACUCGCGGCUUAUCAGCUUGUUGGUGGGGUAGUGGCUUACCAAGGCUUUGACGGGUAGCCGGCCUGAGAGGGUGACCGGCCACAUGGGGACUGAGAUACGGCCCAGACUCCUACGGGAGGCAACAGUGGGGAAUAUUGCACAAUGGGCGGAAGCCUGAUGCAGCAACGCCGCGUGCGGGAUGACGGCCUUCGGGUUGUAACCGCUUUCGCCUGUGACGAAGCGUGAGUGACGGUAAUGGGUAAAGAAGCACCGGCUAACUACGUG
rnacentral:rRNA from 1 species